UUUUUUUUUUUUGUUAUUAAACUCUUCACAAUGGAGCAACAUCAGUCCUAGACUUCUCUUCUUGAUGGGCUAAUCAAGUCCUUCCAGUGAGAGUUGCCUACUAAUCAAGUACUAAUUGUUUUCUCAUGGUGGAAAAAUCGUCAGUGAAGUUAAUCUGAUAUUGAGCACAAUGGAAGAGGAAAGAAAAACUCCAGCUUUUUCGACAGAGCUGGAGUUUGCAGUGACCUGUCUUCUUGACGAACUUGUGGAAUUGCUUUGUGACUUGCCUCUGAAGUGAGUCUAACGAGGUAAUGUUGAUCAGACAAAAGUUAUAUGGUGGUUUUGGUAGUAGGAUGUGAAUCAUUAAUUAACACUUUGAUUUAUGACAUCGUUAAUUAGUUAUCCCUUAAAAAAUUGAAACCCCAUUCGCUUGAGCUAUUAGGUCAAGAAAGAAAAGAAUUACUCCAAUCCUGUUUACAAAUCUGAACUGAUCAAGUCCGUGACAUAAUAUAAUAGGAAUAGAAUAUCAUGGGCUUGGACUGUUGGAAGAAACGAAGUGUAGCUUGAAAAAAAAAAACAGGGAGACGCAGAAUGGAGUCUCUAAAUUAUUUCUGCGGCCACGUGGGAGUGCAAAAUUAAAGCUAUUAUGAACUACGUGUAUCUUACCUUUAAUCAUACUCACGAGAAAGUAUGGGAACUGCAUCCACUCCCAGAGCAUCAAUCCUGCCACUUCAAUAUCGGUUGGUUGUUUCAGUCCCCACCUCCCACAGGUCCAGUUGGACCUCUCUCCUGAAUAAUAGAUUAGGAUAAAAUAGAAUAUAGAUAAAAAAAAAUAUCGGCCGAUUGUACUGUUGUUGCUGUUACAUAAUACUAUUAGGAGUUUCUUUUUUUUUUUUUUUGGGGCAAUUAUCAUCAAUUACAUCUAUUCUUAUUUUAAUCAAUUUUAGGGAGUGACCCACCAGGAUCACGAAAAACUGACAAGAAUUGAAUCACCAUCGGAUCAUGCUAGUACAGCAGUAGUUCCUUCCAACAAAAUUUCUUGUGCUUCUUUUCUAGUACUAGUAGUAGUAGUUAAGAACCGAAAAAUUCAGGCAGUCAGUCCCCUGUAAUCAAUCAAACGACACUCCUCACUGUUUUGAUCAAAUUACGUGUAGUGUGCUUCUACUACUUAAUGUGGUGCCACAUCAAAGAUUCCUCAUCAGGCACCUUACGGCUUAGCCAAGGCAACCAUCAUUUGUUGUGCUCCAAAUUAUUUUUCCAUUGAGAGUUUUUUUUAUACUCCCUCCAUCCCAUUUUGAUAGUCCUAAUUUUUCUUUUACACGGUUUAAGAAAAAAUAGUUAACUUUAUUAAAAAAAUAAAUUUAGGUUGCUACCUUCCUAAAAUAACCUUACAUUAAACAGAGUACAACUUUAUAUUAAUUAUUCAUGAAAACUUGAAUUGAUGGUCAAGAAAGAAUCAAUCCUCAUUUUACAUUAUUUCACAUUAAAUCUAAAUGUAUUAAAUGGAGUAGGUUAACAAUCUAUAUUAAAUAAGAUAGUUUACACUAAUAACAACCUACAUUGAAUAAGGAUAUUUUAGAGAAAUUAAAAGAUAACUGUAUUUUUCAAUUGAAAAGUGGACUAUAAUUUGGAACAGACGAAAAAGGAAACAGGACUAUCAAAAUGGGAGGAGGGAGUAGUAUAGAAAUUUUGUCUAAGCUAGCAGCUCAAAAUAAUAAAUGCUUAUAAAAGGCGCAAAAUGUCCAGCAAUGAUCUACAGGUGGUUAGUGCCAUACUUUCUUCUGUGGAUCGACGGACAAGCAAGUUAGGUAAUUUUAUUUUUUUUUGUCGAUGCAAUAGAAUUUCUAUAAUUUAAUCUAGCCUAUUCUAGGGGGGAAAGAGGAGGGGAGAGGGGGGAGGGGACUCGAUGCUGGUCAAUGAAGACCAUCACAUAUUGUGACAACUUUUGUGGAAGGCAAGGUUCGAACCCUUGACCUCUCGCACCACCAACUUUUGCGGCGACAAGCAAGUUAGGUAAUUGAUGAGUCGCAAAGGGAGCCGGUAUAAAAUACAAGUUUGAUGGGAUUUGAGAUUGUCAUGUAAUAAUACUAACAAGCUGUGUAACCCGGCAGCACACCUCUGCUAACCAGACCAAGAUCUGCAAAUAUCGUAUGGCACUUACCAUCUUUCCUACGGAGAAUAUCAAGUGGCUGCAUUGCAGUUGUACUAUACUUGUUAUGUCCGUGUGUACACGAUACAGGCAAGAAAAAAAAGAUUAACAAAAAAACAAGAAUGACGAAACUGCGCCGAACCUCAGUUUUCCGAACGUAUUAGAAAAUGAGUGAGUGAGACCUUUUCCCACAGGUUAUCCUGUCUCCUCCUCCUCUCUCUCUCUCUCUCAGCCUACCUUUUCUCUGAUCCUCAUCUUUGAUUUUACUACAUCCUAUUCUUGGAUGCGCUCUCUCUAGAAUCUACCAGAUGCCUUGGCACCAAACCUUCUGCUUUCUAUUCCGACAUUACCCUUUCCUUCAUUGGUGUAAUGCAAAAUAAUUUCCUAUUAUAUAGAGUAACACAACAAUCACCUUUCUUGCAUGGCAAAUGUAUAAUAAUAUUCCUGCAAAUAUAUAAUAAUAUUCCUGCUCUAAAUGUUUAAUCGUACGAGAAACAAAGCUUGCUACUGAUUUGUUUUGAUUACUACUAGAUUAGUACACACGCAUAUGAUCUUAAAGCAACUUAAAUCGACUGCCCCACAUCUAAUUAGAAAUUGGAUAGCAUCGUUUGCGCCUGCAUAUGACUCAUAAUUUUGGUUCUUGCUAUAUUUGUUGUUUUUCUUUUAAAUGGUUACGGUUACACUCUAAUCUAUAUAUCAGGUGCUGUUUAAAUUCAUGAAGGGCGUCUACAAAACAGCCUUUUCAGGGUGCUUGUGCUUUUGAAUAGGGACGUUUAGUGAAUCAAUGAUCCUCAAUUUCCAUUUUGUUUUUUGUACUCUUUUGAUAAUCACUCCAUUUUCUUUUGUGGGGAAUGGAAGAGAAAUUAAUGGGCUGCCUGGUAAGUAGGCAUUACGAAUAGAAAUAAGUACUUCCUACGUCCCAUUUUAGUAGUCUUGUUUUUUCUUUUUGUUUGUCCUAAAUUAUAGUCAGCUUUUCAAUUGAAAACAUAGUUAACUUUUAGCUUCUCUAAAAUGCCUUCAUUUAAGGCACUUUGUUAUUAGUGAAUAUAAUCUACCUUAUUCGUUAAUCAUUUUGAUUUAUGCUUUGAAUUAUGCAACUUUUCAUCAAUAUUGUUGUUGCAAUUAAUGUAAAUGUAUAAAUGUUAGUUAUAUUACUGAUAUUAAUGUAAGGAUAUCUUAGAAAAAUAGUAGGUCAGAAUUACUCUUCCAAUAAAAUUAAUCAAUUUUUCUUAAACUGUGUGAAAAUUUUGAAAAAAAAAAAAUCAAAACCAUCAAAGUGGGAUGGAGGGAGUUUCAAAGUUAAUGAUUCUCGUGUACCUAUUAUUUGGUAGACCGGCAUUCUAUAGUUAUCUACUUAUAACUUGAGUUUCAAAUUGAUUAACUCUUUAAUAGAAUGAAACUAAUCCUACUUCUACAUCAAACAUGUAAGAGUGAAUGAUCAAAACCCAUAGAAGAGUUUAUGAUUCUAAUUUCGGAACAUGAAGCAAACACCUCCUAAAUAUUAAACAAAAUGAUCAACUCUAUACAACAAGACAUUUUGGAAAAACUAGUGAUGAGAAAAUUAGCGAACGACCAUUCAUUGGGUCCAUUACUAAACCAAUCUCAAGGGUGGUAAGUGCCCAAGUUGAAUAAAAGUCGAAACCAUAAGGUUGAGCGAUUAAUGCAUCGCAAUAAGCUAAUGUUCUAGCUUUGAGCUAAUUAAUAUAUACUUAAUUGACGUCAAUUAUAAGCCAAAAGUCGGACUAACUUCAUUCUGCUGACUAAUUUUCGUAGCUAGAUAUAGCUGAUUUAUUUACUGGCCCCUUUCUUGGAGGACGGUCAAAAAAAUAAAAAUGAAAAGCGAAAAGAGAGAAGAUGCCAUCUCUGAACUUUCAAAAAAGAAAUAACCUAUUCCCGAAGGAUUAAUUGCGCAAGAACAACAGAACAUUUUAGUUUCUUCAGCUGCUAGUCCGAGGUUGCCACUGCAGUUGCCGAAGUCAUUAAAGCUCAAAAGCGGGUUAUGGCAUUUGUUCUUCCAAGAGAACUUUUCUUGUUUUAACAAAAAAAAAAAAGAAAAAAAAAACGAAUGCUAUUAAUAUUGCAUUGGGAAAUUCGGAGUCCAGUGAAUGCAAGAAUUACGAAAAUCAGAAGGGAUAAUAUCAGAAACCUCCCCUGAGGUUUCUCUUAAUAUCACCUGGCACCCCUAAGGUUUUAAAAAUAUCACUUACCUCCCUUACUUUUGUUAUUUGUGUAACAAAAUUUUUAAAAACCCUAAACUACCCUUUCACUUGCUAAAUAAAAAUGUUCCUAAACCACUUUGUUCAUUUCAAGAAAACCAUCACCUCAAAAGCAAUUUCUUGUAGUACCACUACAUCACAAUUCUAUACCCUAUAAAAAUAUAAAUUUGAAAAAUAAAAAUGAUAUUUGAAAAGAAAUACACUUGCAUUAAUUUAAUUCUGUAUGCUCAAAACCGAUUUCCUAUAAAUUUACAUUUUUUCCAACAUCUUCUCAACCCUUUACUCAAACCAUUAAACUAUACCAAUCAUUAUAAAAAUCAACCCAAAAUAAGCAAAUAAAUCAUACCCCACUUUAUCACAAUCACAAAAAGUAAAAGAUAAACAAAAUUUAAUUUAUUAUAAUUUACAAUAAAAUAUUGCAUAGUCAUCCAAAAAAUAUGAGUAAGAAAGAAUGAUGGAGAAAAGGGAAAAAGAAGAAUGUGACUUUCUUUUCUUUUUUUUUUAAAUUUUGAGCUUCAUUUAUUUGAUAUGUUGUGAAUUAUGUGUCAAGUGAGGGUUAAUAUUGUCAUUUUACAAUUACUAGGGGAGGUACGUGAUAUUUCUAAAACCUGAGGGGUGUCAAGUGAUAUUAAGAGAAAUUUCAAGGGAGGUUUCUGAUAUUAUCCCAAAUCAGAAUAUAUGUACAGCUUGGUAGAUGUACUUUAUCCUAAUGACGAGUACUAAACAUCAAAAACAUGUAUUCAAUGCAUUAAAGUUGUAGAUUGCAGAAAUUUGAAUGCCUCUAAGAUGCAAAUCUUUUUUCUUUUUUGACCCAAGAUACAAAUCUUUGAUGCAUGACAACUUUUAUCUUUAGAUCAAGUCCAAUGGCAAAUAGCGGAUGAUCUAAGAUAUAUUUCAGGUGUUAAAUUAAAAAAAAUAAAAUUAAUUAGAAAAAGUAUAUAAAUGCAGGAAUGAAUAAUAGUUAUAAUUAGAAAAGGUAUAUAAAUAUAAAAGAAGAUAAUAAUUAUUAGCGUGUGUAUUUUUAUAAUAAGUUGGGUAUGAUUUAGGUGUAUUAACAAUCCAUCAGAAAAAACCAACAAAAUUUAAUGCAUCUCUAAUUAAAUUUUUAAGAAUAAGGGUAUUCCAGUAAGUUCAAUAACUUGUCUGUUACCACUCCCCAUCCAUUGGCCUCUACGAAGCUCCACAAGUAGACAGUCAUUUGUGUCUUCUUCUUCUUCCAGUACAGUCAGUAUAUUUCCAAUUUCUCAAUCCUAAAUCCACUGCCGCACCACCAUCUUCAACCUCUCCACACAUUAAUCCAAAAAGAAAAAGAAAAAAGAAGAUCUCAUGCUUUCUUAGCUAGCUCCUCCUCAAAAAGACUACAGCAAGACAGAUUGAUCAGAAAACCAAAUGGCUAGACAUGAGCGAGGAAUUCGACAUAACUAUGACGGCAUGGGCAUUGAGGAGGAAGAGGAUUUGGAGCAAGAUGAAGAAGAAGAGACCUACGAGGACGAGGAGGACCACGAUUGCAAAGGGAUGUACGCAAGUACAGUUUGCGGUCCUAUGAGCAGUAGGUGCAACAAAUGGUUUGUGGGAAAAAUCCUGGACCCUAGGGCCAGUUGGAUUCAAGAAUGGAACAGAAUUUUCUUACUAGUGUGUGCAACUGGGCUGUUUGUGGAUCCACUGUUUUUCUACACCCUAUCCAUCAGCGAGAACUGCAUGUGCCUGUUCGUCGACGGGUGGUUCUCGGUGACGGUGACGGUUCUCCGGUGCAUGACGGACGCCUUACACGUGUGGAACAUGUGGUUGCAGUUCAAGAUGAACAGACGUCCGCAUGCUGCUUUGGCUGUCACGGGAGAUGAUACUGUGGGAAGCAGUAGAAUCAGACUGCAUGACACCAGUCCUAAAACUAUAGCCUUGAAAUAUCUAAAAUCCAAGAAAGGUUUCUUCUUCGAUCUCUUUGUCAUUCUUCCUCUACCCCAGGUGAGUUUUUUCUUUUCUUUUUUUUUAAAUUACUUUUGCUCUUAUAUAUGUAAUCCAGGUUUCUGUUACUCGGUACUUAAUUAAACUAGCUAGCUGGGGUUCGCAUUGGAUUCUUGCCAUCUCACCCGGCCCCCUCCAUCUUCUUCCUUCCUACUUGUCUGAUUCUAAAACCACAUAAAUGAUUAACAUUAAUCUUUUUUUUGUGGGUUUUGCUUUAACUAAAAUUGGGGGUCUUCUGUACUGAUGAUAAUACCGUUUCCACAUCAAGAAAAUCAAAAGACGAGAAUUGUGGUUGUCGUCAAAUGGCCGGGGAACUGUUUUGUUGGGUUGUGAGAAAUGACAAAUGCAUGCAUGUCACCGUAUAAUUAAUGUAGGUUGUAUGUAUGCAUGUGGGGAUGGCUUCAGACUUUGCAGAAAAAAACAUUAGACGACGUAACAUCUCUGCCUUUAGUUUUCAUGUAGGCAGCUAGAAUUCGACUGUGGGAAGGAAUUCUGGGUAUACCGGAGAUGAAUCUGUUUUCACUGGCAUUUGAACAAGCUUGAACGUCCCCCUUUCUUUCUUUUUCUCUUUUUUUUUUUGGGUCCCUUUUUCUCUUCUUUGUUUUUCGUUUCACCACUAGUAAUUAAUCUGGGCAAGGAAUGUUCAAAGUGCUCAGUUUUCUCUUAGAGUUUUAUGAGGUAUAAUCUGAAAAGUAUGUGCUUUGAAGGGGGAAGUCAUAGUUAAUUAAACAACGAAAAGCCACCCGGUGGCUAUGCAACAAGAACAAGAUGAUUAUGAGCGAAGUGGCAUAAAAUGAUAUGCUAUUAAAAGUACAUUACCCCGGUAGCCAUGCGAUCCCAAACCUAUAUUUAUAGGUCCUUCCUUUUUGACAUUUUGUUUCUUUAUAUAUAGUUCUUAUAUAAAUUAACUAAGACAUUCAGAUUGAUUUUUAAAUUUUUAAGACAUGAAUAACUUUGUUGUAGACAUUAACAUGGAACCCGUCUAAGAAAAAUUAACUGAAAAACUCAUCAUCAUCUUCUUCUUUUUUUUUUUUUUUGUGUGGUAAUAAAAGACGUCUAGAUAAAUUAACAGUAAGUCAUGAGUCUAAUACAACAGACUGGGGGGAACUAACCAAACUCCCUAAUAUCUUUGAUCAAAAGAGAGGGGUAAUUUACAUAGAAUGGAAAAGAAGACAAAAGUUUUCCAACAUCUUUGCAAGCACAUACAAACCAGUUCGUCUCCCUCUAUACAUGUGUAAUUAGGACCUGCUGGAAUCUAUAUUGGUGAAAACUUGUACAAAUAUAGAGACUUACUUGUUACAUUUGAGAAAUGAUAGCCUAGAACCCAAAAGGAAAGAAAAAAAAAAAAGGGAAUCAGAAAUUGUUUGACUCCUAGUAAUUGGUAGAUAAAAAGGCUUUUCCCGAAACGAAUGCUCCCUUUCUUUAAUCCCUUGAGGCAAAGUGUGCUCCUACCAUUUAAGAAUUCUCUACCCCAUUGAUGAAAAUACAAAGCACGCCACGACGUUGAGAACUUUUUGGUAAAUAAUAUAAUCCAUCUAAGAAACAAAAGAGUAGUUAUUGUUGUGUGGAAGGAAGUAUUUUAAUACUGAAAUGCAUUGAAAAUUUUGGAAACAAUGAGAAUCAUGGUAAUUAAUUGAAAAAGACGGAUGUUGAAAUAGACGGAAAUGACAAAAAGAGAGAGAAGGAGAGAAUCUGAAUUUGCUUACACAUGAGAACGUCAUAGUCCUCCUCCUAAGGUAGGCGGGGGGAGAGAAUCUGAAUUUGCUGAUGACAUUGAGUUGGCGUGUUAAAUAGCUCUUACUCACCCCAGAAAUGUUAAAGUUUAACCAGUUCCUCUCAGGAAGUUGGUUCAUUUAUAUGCUUAUCAUUCCCAAAAGGUAUAUAUUCUGGUUGCAUCUGGGCAUUGUAUUGUAUUGUAAUAUACUUAAAAUGUUAAGGUUGAUUGAUUUCCACCACUCAUAAUAGCAAGGGGAGUAAGGAAUAAUGAUCAAAAUCGUGUCUUUGGCCUUUAAUAUAUAAGUGAACUUGCAUGACUUCAACAAGUUAAUAGUAGCUCUUAUUAAAACCCCAAAAAAAAAGAAGGGAAAAAUGUUAUCAGUUCCUCUCAGGAAGUUGGUAUGUUGAUAUAUAUGCUGCUAGCUCAUGUUUCUACUGAGAGCUAUACAUUCCAAUAUCUUGAGCAGGUUUAAAAAAGGCAAGUAUGCAGAUAAAAGCACGAUAGAACUAUAAUGAUGCUGCUAUUAUUCGAUUUUAUUUGGGGAAUUUGGAUGAUAACUUGCCUGUUUCCUACAUUUCAGCUUAAAAAUUAAAGUUGCAAAGCUCCAAAGCAAUAGUGUAGUGUUUGACAAUGAAUGAACCUAAUCCAACCAAACCUUAUAGGAAGAAAAUUUUUAGAAUUUUUGUCACACAAUUGCGUCCUCUUAUAUAGAUUAAUCUAUAUCGAGGCCAGCUGCAGGAAAAAAAAAAUUAAUCAAAAAUCAUGUGAUGAUGAGGACUAUAUUCAUAUCUUAAAUUUCAUAAGUUCCACCACUUACUGCGAAGGCAAUUAGGAAUGAUGAUCCAGGCGGGUGUGUUGUGCACCCGUUUGGUCUGGUGAUGGUUCAGUCCCUUCCAAAUAAUCCCUGGACCUCCUUAGAUCCGCCCCCUCCCCCUUAGCGUAAAAUAGAUUAGGUUAUACAACAGUUGUCGUUUCCAAAAAAAAAAAUUAGGAAUGAUGAUCAAAGUCAUAUUUUUAGAAUCUUGAGGUUCUGGAUUUAAAAUAAAUUGAACUAGGCUCAACAGUUGCAAAUAUACCUCUAGCUAGUAAUAAAUUUCGACUUAACUUGGGUGUUUGUUUCAUUUGAUGUUGUAGAUACGUUUUUUUUUUUUCCUACUUUCUUGUGGGGGACUGUUGUGAUUGUGGAAGGUGAAAGUAAAUGCAGAUUGUGCUAUGGGUAGCAAUACCACUGCUGCUGGAGAAGGGAUCAACGACGGCAGUGAUGACGGUGUUGCUGACCAUGUUUCUAUUCCAGUACCUCCCAAAAAUCUACCAUUCCGUUUGCCUCUUGAGACGCAUGCAGAAUCUCUCCGGCUACAUUUUUGGGACUGUUUGGUGGGGAAUCGCCCUCAACUUAAUUGCCUAUUUUGUCGCCUCCCAUGUAAGGCUUCAAUUCCAUUCACCUAAACCAACUUAAUUUUAUGAUGUCUACUGUCUAAUCGAUUAUACUCUUUCCACACAUUAUUGAUGAAAUUUUGAAAUGUAUCCUUGCGUUCUUUUUCUUUUCAAGAUGUGAAUAAUCAUUGAGAACCACAAGUUAGUUAAUUCGCAAGUUUAAGGGCUGUAACAGCAGAUGAACACUGCAAUUCUGAAAGUCAUAAAUAAAUAGUACAAAACUUUUCGAAUUGUUAUUUUUCAUCAUGCGCGAUUUUAAAAAUUCAAGUGAGUACACGAAAAAUAGGAUGCGUACCACUUUUCGACAAGGAGAUAGAAUAACACAAUAGGCUUAGAAGAAUUAAUCGUUAGCAAAAAUACUUUGGGACCACUUUCAAAGUUACAGUCUUAACUUUCUGAUUUUCCAAAAUCCAAAUCAUCUAUUGACUUGUCCUUUCGUUCGUUAAGCUUGUAUGCAUGUUCAGCUUCAUGAAAGUUAUUAUAUAUGUGGUUUGCAUGCAGGCAGUGGGAGCAUGCUGGUACUUGCUAGGAAUCCAAAGAGCUGCAAAGUGCCUAAAGGAACAAUGCAGAGUCACAAAAGGCUGUGGCCUGAAGAUGUUGGCAUGUGAACAGCCCGUCUACUAUGGGACAAGAAGCCCGGUCAAAGACAGUUUCCGGCUGAUAUGGGGUGAGAGCAAUGCAGCCAGGACUACUUGCCUACAAAAUUAUGAUAGUUUCGAUUAUGGAGCUUAUAAGUGGACUGUUCAACUCGUCACAAAUGAUAAUCGUCUGGAGAAGAUACUUUUCCCCAUUUUUUGGGGCCUCAUGACUCUCAGGUAGCACCUUACCUUACUUGUGGAACAUCAAAAUCUUAAUCGUCGGUUUAAGUUCUUUAUCCUGGCAUUGCAUUCGACUUAACUCACACAUGGAUGUAUGGAUUUGUAGUACCUUUGGAAAUUUGGAGGCUACAACUGAUUGGCUGGAAGUCAUUUUUAUCAUCAUUGUCCUCACAACCGGACUGCUUUUGGUGACUAUGCUGAUUGGAAACAUCAAGGUCAUGAGUUCAUACCACUAUCAAUUGUUGUUUUUUUUGUUUAUCGGGUGUAAAUUAUCAUCAUUAACUGAAAAUUUUUUAGCAUCUCUAUAGACAACUGUGAUGUCCCUCUAUUACCACCAUCGUUAUCAGUCCUAGUAUUGAUGAUCAUAACAUUGUGCUUUUACUAUUGUUUGGAAAUUCAGGUUUUCUUGCAUGCAACGACGUCAAAGAAGCAAGCGAUGCACUUGAGGAUGAGGAGUAUAGAAUGGUGGAUGAGGAGGAGAAGGUUGCCACCCAACUUCAAGCAGAGAGUGAGGAACUAUGAAAGGCAACGGUGGGCAGCGAUGCGCGGAGUAGACGAAUAUGAGAUGGUUAGGAACCUCCCUGAGGGCCUUAGGAGGGACAUCAAAUACCAUCUCUGCUUGGACUUGGUUAGACAGGUAUAAGAUUCUUCGCGUUUAUUUGGAACUCAGCUAUAUAUAUAUAUAUUCUUGCAAAAAAUGCGAAUUUGUUUUGAGGCGUUUUUAUUCCUGAGAGAAAAUGCUCAUCAUUUACUUUGUGGAUAAUAUUUCAGGUGCCUUUGUUUCAGCAUAUGGACAACUUGGUCCUGGAGAAUAUCUGCGACCGUGUCAAGUCCCUUAUAUUCACAAAGGGAGAAACAGUAUGCAUGUUCUUCUUUGGUUAUUCACAUUUCACAAUAAAAAAAUUUAGUAUUCAUGCGAAAUUUUACUUCAACAGAAGCCAAAUUAAUCCUAGCUCGUAAUACCAACAAUUCUUUUUCUUUUUUUUUUUGUCCUCCCUCCUAUUAUCCGCCGGUAGAUAACAAAAGAAGGUGAUCCAGUUCAGAGAAUGUUAUUCAUCGUCAGAGGUCAUCUUCAAAGCAGCCAAGUACUUCGAGACGGCGUCAAAAGUUGUUGUAUGCUAGGCCCUGGAAAUUUCAGCGGCGAUGAGCUCCUGUCGUGGUGCCUCAGAAGGCCUUUCGUGGAACGGUUACCACCAUCUUCAUCAACUCUGGUAACUCUGGAGACCACUGAAGCCUUUGGGUUGGAUGCUGAAGAUGUUAAGUAUGUUACUCAACACUUUCGCUACACAUUUGUUAACGAGAAGGUUAAGAGGAGUGCAAGAUACUAUUCCCCUGGAUGGAGGACGUGGGCUGCUGUUGCCAUUCAACUGGCUUGGAGGAGGUACAAGCAUCGAUUAACGCUUACUUCCUUGUCGUUUAUCAGACCAAGAAGACCAUUGUCAAGAAGCUCCUCACUUGGGGAGGACAGGCUCAGGCUCUACACGGCUCUAUUGACUUCGCCAAAGCCAAAUCAAGAUGAUUUCGAUUUCUGAAUUCAGGAACUUGUCUGGAAAUAUUGCAACUCUAUUUAUGCAAUCUCGUCGUAGUAGAAUCUUGGAGUCCAUUUAGAUGGUUGAUUUCCUCAUCAUUAUCCAUCGGAGCACCCCUUAUGGGUCGUCUCACAAGAACUAUUUAUUAUCCAUGGGCGUGUAUUUGCACUAGCUGGUCCAACAAAUAAAUAUAUAUAUUAGAGCUUCAAGCAUUCCCCCAAAACGCUUUAGUUUUCUGCGGAUCCCAUCGCUAAGUAGCUAGACAUGUCACGCAUUCAAAUUAGACGGGAAAGGUUUGAAGGGAAAAUUGGGCAAGGUAGCAAGUGACUACUGAAGACAGAUCACUGAGAAAACCUACUAUAUCAAUUUGCAAAAUGAAGUAAAGAGACCAGGAAAAUUUGGCAUACAAUCUUGUUCAUCCUAGCCUAAAAUAUUUUUCUUAUAAAAAAAAAAGGCGGCUUGAUCAUGCUACUUCCUCCAAAGGUGCAACACGUUGACCUGGCUCAGCUUCUGGAACAGCUGAGCCCCUGAAUAGCAAAAUUGCAAGGCUGCCUAUGCAAAAGUAGAUGAAACAGCCGCAGCAAUGAGUCACGAAUGAACCAAAAUCAGUUCCCACGAUGCAUUGCCACCCUGGUCCGUGCGUCCUAUCAAAUGCCUGUAUCAAAUAACAAUUUCUCCAUCACAAGUUAUGAAAUAUUUAUUCAACCACCUUAGUCACAUGAUUUUAUAUAUAUUUUUUUGUCCUGGGUUUUCAUUAAAAAGACGCAAGCGCAAGAAUAAAAAUGGUAUAAAAGCUAAUACACAAAUAUACCUUCUUAAUGAAGCAGGCUAUUUCAGUGGCUUCAGUGACAUCAAAGAAGUCAAGUGCCUUGGCUGCCAAAUCAAGUGCAUCUUGUUGCAUGGUCUCAAGCAUAUCAGUUUCCCCGAUUACUGCUUUUCCUUCUAACAUGAUGAAUUCUGUAAUCAGCAAAUAUGUAUAGGGAAAGGGGUUCAAUUAUACUUCCGCUGCAUACGAUUGAGAAAUGGGCUAGUUCUAUAUAUAUAUAUAUAUAUGAGAGAAGGGUUGGAAUAAGUAAAGUGGGGCGGUGGUAAUGAGCUAGUGGCUUGAUCCCAAAUUCUCAAACACACUUGUGGCCAAAACAGGUACACAAACUGAUGCUAAGGCAUAAUUCUUUCAAGCUGUGGGAUGUGUAAGGCUAUAGCAGCAGGAGAGCACAGAUUGGGCUUUUUAUUGGUGCAGGGUGGCAAAAACUCUGGCGAGUUGUGAAUCAAUCAUGUUGCGAUUUGAUUGCCAGAUAGCAAGAAGAGGUGGUGAUUUUGCAGAGGAAUUGGAUUUCUGCGGCCCCUCUUUAUCUGAGACACGUGGUAACUCUUUUGGGUCUUGAUUAGUCAGUGAGAGAUGAUGCCAUAUGUGUGGAAUCUGGACACUCGGUUGGUUUGGCAGUUUAUAACCCGGUCAUUUUCUAGAAUUUGUCUUCCAAUUGGCAACAAAUUGCCUAGGUCGAUCAAAGUGGUACCAGUUUCGUGUUUGUUACAUCAAGGCAGGACAAGUCAUGGGAGUACGUGUUUUCUACGGAACAAGAAGAUAAUCUUUACGAGAACUAUCCUCUUAAUCUCUCUUCCGGAACUCCUAUGUUGUGUUGAAUAAUUGAUGAAAAAUUUUCUCACACCACAUAAUUUUGCAUUGGCCAAUACUAUCUCAUGUAGCAUUUUUCACAUCAAGAACUCCCAUGUUGUGAUUGAAUAAAAAUAAUUCGCACCAAACUAAUCAAUGCGAAAUAUUCUCUCCAGCAUAAUUUUACAUUCGAUAGACUAAUAUUAUCAAGUUCAUUACACCAUGCACGGCAGCUAGUAUUUAAUAUUUAUGCUCUUGUGCUUUCCAUUUUCUUUUUUUUCUUCUCCUAUGCUAAUUACUAAUCCAAUGAACAUGGUAGAUGCAGAAGUUUUGUUGCACAAUUUUGUAGGUUGGAGAUUCCUUGUCAAGGCAUCCCACGAUUAGCUGAGAUUGUGACGGUGGUUCGUCCGACAAUUCCAACCCAACCUACUAAGACAAAUAACCUUCCACCGACUCCUCCUCUCCGUGUCGGCACCGAUAUCUAAACCCCCAUUGCCAUCCCUCCCCUCCCACCUUAAACCUUUCUCCCUUUCUCGACUUUCGUUGUUUUUUACCUUUAUUUACUUUUGGGGCGGUAAUCAAGCUUGUCCUUGUGUGUGUAGUCUUGGAAAAGUAAAAGCAUGCACAUGAUAUAUAUAUAAUUGGUGAUUUGGUGCCCCAAAUUGCUAUUCAUUCAUUAAAUUGAAAAUAGGGUUAAAUGCAAAAAACCCCCACAAACUAUAUAUCGAGUUGCAGUUUACCCCCUAAACUAUAAUAAUAGGCAUUUUGCCCCCUUGAAUGAUAUGUUUGGACAAAUCUACCCCUUUUAUUUUAAGCAUUGUUAUUUUUCUUUUUUCUCUAUCAUUUUCUAUUUAAAUUCUUCCUUUUUUUUAUUUAAACAUUGUUUAAAUAAGUAGAGUAGAUUAGUCAAAAUUUGUUUAUUUCCUAAUUUCGUAUGUCAAUAUUUUAUUUUAAAAAAUCUAUGGAAUACAAGAUUUUUUUUCCAAAUGUUGAAGUUGACUGUCAAGUUUGUUUGGAUUGGCAUCAUUGCAAAUAAAAUAAUUUGCUUCACAAAUUCCAAUCACCUUUUUAUCUCACAUACAUCACAUCACAAAAAGUGCUACAGUAAUUAAAUCAAAUAAAUCAUCCAAAUAAACUCUUAUCCAAACAAGAAUGUCAUUUAAGAAAUUGAACUUUUCAAAUAUAUAAUAACAAAAUAGAGAAAUUGAUUAAUCAAUUAUUAGUAGUAUCAAUAACAAAAAAGAUGAACUACUAUUGUUGUUUAUUCUUAUUUUUUAUUUCAUUACAAAUAACAAUUGCUAACUUUUUUUUUUAUGUGAUAUAUAAUAUGUUACUUUUAUUAUAAGUAGUUGAGUAACUGUGAACUCUUAAUUAGUUUAUAGGUACUUAAAUUGUUGAAUUACUAGAUUAAUACACUUUAUAAUAUAAGCCACAUAUAUUUUGUAAUAACAAAGAGUUUAUGACAAAUUAUUAAGAAUGAAUUUAACAAAUAAACAAAUUUAAAAAGCAGUUUAAAAAUUUUUAAAAUUUUUAAUGUAAGUCUUUUCACAUCGGAGAGAGCUGUUGGCUAGUUCCAAGAGAGAAUGAGAACAAAAAGAAAAUAAAAGAAAAAAAAUUAAAAAAGCUAAUAGAGAAAAAAGAAGAAGAAAGGAUUUAAGACAGUAGGGGUAGUAUUGUCCAAACAUAUCAUUUAAGGGGGCAAAAUGUCUAUUAUUAUAGUUUAGGGGGUAAACUGCAACUGGGUAUAUAGUUUGUGGGGGUUUUUUGCAUUUAACCCUUGAAAAUAGCAGAAACAAGAAUCUAUAUAUGCAUGUAAAAGCUAUAAAUAGCAACUAGUACUUUUUAAGCCAUUCCUCGCAUUUCCUUCGCCGCCUUUCUCUCCUUACCAAUUACCGCCUCUCCCUUUUUGAUUACCUUGAGAUGAGAUAGUGUCAUAUUCAUACAAUAUUUUCUCUCUGUAUUUCUUUCUUUAUUUCUCAACACCCUAAAAACCCAUCGGGGGGGAAGGAAAAAGAAGAAGAAGAAGAAGAAGAAGGGGAUUUGCAAAACUUUGUAAUAUCGGUUUGAUUUUUGCUUCAACCUUAGCAUUGCCGGACGGAGGCGAUAAAAUGGCGCCCCGUCUCUUUUCAUGCUUUGGCAGAGGCGCCUCUUCAUCUUCACACCAAGGAACCUCGUCCGAGAUUGCCACCGCAGACAUAUCGGCUGAGGAGCAGAGGAGGGGGGGGCCGGUGGUGGUGGAGCUCUUUACGUCACAGGGAUGCGCCACCUCGGCUCAGGCGGAGCUACUCUUCUCAAGGCUGGGAAGGGGGGAUUUCGAGCUCGAGAUGCCGCUGGUAUUGUUAGCUUACCAUGUUGACUACUGGGAUUACCAGGGCUGGAAGGACCCUUUUGGGUCAAGCCUGUGGACUGCUAGGCAAAAGGCCUAUGUCGAGGCCCUAAACCUUGAUACGAUGUUCACACCUCAAGUUGUGGUCCAGGGCCGAGCCCAAUGUGUUGUCAAUGAAGAAGAUCCUAUGUUGUCCUGCAUCACGUCCGCACCAAGGGUCCCUGCUCCCUCUUUCCAGGUUAGCAAAACUUCAACAUCAUUUCUUGAAUCAAUAGUGGCUUUACAUGAGAAAUUCUAACUAAAUCCUUAAGAUUUUUGGUGUAGUAUUUCUUCCAACGAUUGCAUCGACAUAUAGAGUUGUGGAUCAAUGAAUACUGUUUACCGUUUUUCCCUUUUUAAUGCAAAAGAUAUACACCGUUAAGCAUGGGUCAAAUUUAUACGACUUUUUCGUCUACAAUGGUAAACAUUUAAUUUAAUUUAACGAGGACCCGAGCCAAUGCUCUCAUUUUUAUGUCUCUAGUUUGUUUUUCCUUUUGGUUGGGUUGAGGGAGGUGAAUACAAAAGAUGCUUGCGAAGAGAACUAUUAUCCUUUUUCUUUCUAGGGGUUUUGGACCCUCGAGUCAAGUUCAAAGAGAACUAUUUACCUAAGCUAAAACCUCCACAUAACUCUGAAAAGUUCACAUAAUUACUAUAUAUCAAUCGUGGUACUUGUACGGUAAGGAAGUGGGGUUGGUAAACCUUUUUUUUUUUUUUAAAUUGAAGGCCUUAGUUAGCAUUCUCUUGUUCUCUUAUUUUACACUGAUUAAGCUGUAUUAGUUGUUGUUAUAAUUAAACCAAUCAUGUUUUGUUUACUACUUUUUUUCAUAUGCUUUUCAUUAAUACUAGAUGACUCAUUCAAAAUGCUAGAUGAUUUAUAUUGAUUAAAUUAUUCUUGAGAUUUACUAGUACUAUUUAGUUUUUCGAAUACAAGCUCGAUGUAGUCAAUGUGAGUACAACAUUUUUUUUUUUUAUGGGGUCGAGGGACGACCUAGUCGUUGUAGGAAUACUUGUUGUCGUUGAUAACAUUUUAUUUUUUUGACUGUCUGAAAAAACGUGUGAAUGCGAGCAGGCCGCAUUCCAAAUGCCGACACCAGAAUCGCUGCAGGUGUCCCUAACAGGAGCUCUAAGGAGUAAGGUGGACCAGCAAGGCGUCAACAUCAUGGUUGCUCUAUAUGAAAGUGGUUUGGUCACCGACUGCCAGAAAGGAGAAAACAAAGGCCGCGUCAUAGCUAAUGACUUUGUCGUUCGGAAGCUUGAGAAGCUCUGCUCUGUCAAGGACAUCGCCGCUAAGAAAACUGUUUCAGGGACCGUUAAUUUCUCCCUCUGGGAAGGCUUCAAUAGCAGCAAAUGUGGAGUUGCCGUCUUUGCGCAAAAUGCCUCUCAUCACAUUUUUGGUUCGCAGAAUUUUCGAUUGCCGGAAACUCUGUGAAAGUUUGAUUCAUUGAUCUUGAGCAUGUUUCCGAGUUAUUCAUUAAACUGGAUGCCGGAUGGGAUGUCUCAUCCAUCCCUAUGGUUAAUGCAGUUGAAACUUUCCAGCUUCUACCACGUUAAUGUACAGUGCAUAUUUCGUAGGUUGUAGUUUUCUUUUCUUUUUUCAUUUUUCUUCACCUUUUCAUAUUUACUUUAUUUUCUUAGUUUCACGUGAGCUUUUAGACUUGAUGUUUCUUGGUGAUCACCAAUACUAUGGUUGAUGCGAGUAUUUCUUUUGGCAAGAGGGAAGGGCGCUUUCGAGUUUUGAUCCAUUACAAUCCCAAGUCAUAUCCUAUGAGCCCCAGAAUUAAAGUAGAAACUGCACAAAUUAUAAGGGGCUCUUCUUUUAUUUUUUAUUUUUUUGUGAAAAAAUGGUUACACUACGCAGUGCUGCCAACUCGUAACUGCCGGAACUAAUGGAUAUUGCGGGACAAGUACGGAAGGUUGCGUAUUCAGUAAUCUUUAAAGGACACAUUCAUGAAAGAACACUACCAACAACGUACAGGUCCGUUACGGCUCAUUCAUCUCAAUUGUUUGAUGCUUUAACAAAGAACCGUGCAAUUUCAGCAGAAUGCGUCAGCCGCACUUUCGAAGAUCACAUAAUCAUCUUUUAGCUCAGUGAUACAUGAGCGGUCUACAAGGCUGUAGAAUCCCAGCCAUAUUUACGCCAAAUAUAAACAUUAAUUAGUGAAAACAACGUUCGGGGAACGUGAACCGCGUCUGCCAUACCACUAAAUCAACCUGCCUCCGAGACUUCACUCAAGUUUGCUUGAAACGCUGAUCAUCAUUACAAGAUCAAACGGCCUCAAGAAUUCUAUCAAUCACCUAAAAAGAUAUUUCUCCAUAUCCUUUGGCUCAUGCCACCAAAAUCAGCCAUGCCUCACAAGAUACUUAUUAGCCGUUCAUCCAAUAGACAAUAUAACAACUAUGGCCUCUCCGCCUGUAAGUCAUCCCUUGCGGCAAGACGUGAGGGAGUAGUACUUUUUUGGCAUUCCCCUCCCAACAAAACAGAAUUAAGCAAGCUGACAGGUAAAACACAGUAACAGAUGAAGCACUAUUGGUUUCAAUUAACAAAUUUACCGUUGUUGUCACAAAAGACAGAGGAGGAAGAUGGACAGAAAAAGCAGCUCAGCCACAGGCAUCAUGUACAAAACAAUCUCGAACACCUGAAAAACUUGCUACUUCAAGCUUUCUAUCUUGAUCAGAGUUGAAUUUCAGGAAACUAAAAUGCAAUAUUUACAAAUUCGAUUAUGCCAAUGUUUCUGCUAUCUCCGUAAGACACCUUUAUGUCACAAAAAUUGAUUUCUAACCAUGUUAUUCUUCUCUACAUGGAGCACUGGACAUGUUCCUACCCCUUCCCCAAAAUACAGACGAUGCGUUUCAGGUUUAAAGCUCCGUUCAGGCAAAACAAGCACUUCCAUGAAAACCGUCUAGAUUCUACACAGAAUCUACAGCCUCGACCUGCUGCCGAGCAAGAUAUUUCUCCCUUCGCUCUUUCUACAGUACAAAUGAAAAUGAAAAGUAAUCAUCAGGGAAAAAAAAAUCAACAUCUGAAGAUCAGUUACCUUUAAAUAAGGUCUCAUAUAUCAAGAGCCAUCCAAAAUGUAUUUCUAGAUACUCACCCAUUCAUCUAUGACAAGACCUUCCCCAACUACACGGGGACCUGGAUCAGCUGGAGGUUUCUUACGUGCCUCUAUUGCAGCUUCAGCCUCGGCCAACUGACGCUUGAGUUUCUCCAAUGCCUGAAAAAACAAUUAAAUUAUAGGAAGUUAAAGAUGACUAGGAAAGCAAGAACAAAAAUGCAUAAAAAGAAUGUAUAAAGUAGGUUACUCUUACAGAAGUAGAGCGCUCCGGAUCCAAAAACACGACACGCAGAAUACGUUCCACCGUCACUUGAUCCUUUUGUUCAUCAAACUGCAAGAGUAGAAGUUGUCAAGAGUAGAAAAACUCUAUGGCUUGACGAUCCAAUAAGAGAAACUGCAAAAUAUACAGAUGGCAAUUCAGGGCAUGCAUAUCAUAACAAAGCAAAUGCAGCUGCCAAAAUAUUCUUCACAUAACUUGGGAUUAUCAACCUUCUGUUUUCUCAUUAACCACAUUUUGCAAUGCACGAUACCAUCGUCAGCCAUAGAAAGCAUUCUAUUACAUAUGCUGGCCAGAGGGAGGUAGCAAAAUGAAAUCAGCCCUUCAAAAUGCAGUAUUCCACCACAAAAAAAUUAUUAUUACAUGACUCUUUUGAUAUUGUGUCUAAAAGUACAAUGCAUCUGACAUAGAACUGAGACCUCAGAACAUAUCUUCCGUGACAUGGAACUGAUUCAUCUGCUAUCUUAAAAAGUAUAUGAGUUCACGACCCAUUGGAUCCAAAUUUCAUGAAAACUUAAGCGUUGACAUCACAGACGAAAUCCAAAAUGAUGGGAAAAAAGUGACUACAAAUAAAAGAUAUCAAAUCCUGAAAUAACUGCAAUAGGCAGCUUGAAGCAAUUAGGAAGACCAUGCACAAUUCGACGUUUUAAAAAAAAAAAAAAACACGCGAAUCUCCCUGUGUAAAAGUUCCCCAUGCACAUUUGCACGUUUAAGCAGUUUUGGAAGCAACUCAUUCUUAUGGACCCACAAACAACACCAUUAAGUAGCACGGCAAAGAUCAAAGGAAAACACAAAUAAACGACAAAUCUAAUAAUACGUGUAGUGCUAUGUGAGGCUAAUCACCAAAAACAGUCCAACAGAGUGAUAAGGGUCGGCAUUCAUGCAAAUCAGAAUGUAUGCGAUAUGCCAUCCCUCAGAUUGCAGUUGCUUUAGUUCUCAAAAACUUACCAACUCAGGCACAUAAUCUGUUCCUUGUUUCACUUUAAGACUCAUGAUCUUGAACUUGACCUUGCUCUUCUGCUCUGUUGGUUUCUCAUUAUUCUCUGGAUGCUCCACAAACUUGAAAACUGAAAACAAAAUCAAGUUGACGUAUAAGUCAAUGUAGAUAAUCCUUAUGCAGUAAGAAAACAGAUGCCUUCAUCUCUUUGGAUAUGAAUACUGAUACAGAAAACAGUGAAAAUAUGUGCAGAUAAGGUAAAAGCUAGCUAAUUACCAGUUGCAAUAAUGCUUUCUCCAGGUGCAAGGAUACCACCAGGCGGUCGCAUGUAACAGCUCUUUGGUGCAGUAGUUUGAAACUGCAAAUGUAAGAGAAAGCAAUCAUGAAUCUCACCAUUCUCCUUAAAUGGUUCGUAGAGAAAAUAAAGGAUCAUAAAAUGUUACCCUAACGACAAAAACAUGACAGAGAUCCUUUCUAAAUAGUUGUAUAAAGUUUCAAAUGGUGAUUUCAGGGGAAUGGGGGUAAUGAAGAGCCGCAUUAACAGCAUUUUACACAUCGACAGACUCUAAAUAAUUGUGGAAUAGGAAUAAUAAUUUUAAGAAAUGAUAGCAGUAAUAGACAUAAUUCACAACUCAAGUCACUUCAUGUAUACCAGAAAUAGAAAAAGGGAUAAGCACUUAACAAAGUACGAUUAAAAUCCAACAAAAACAAAGGAUAACAAAAAUACAUACCUUAAACGCUACAUGCGACUUGCUGGAGUUCUUAAUCCUAACAGCACUCCUCACCUGCUUCCCCGGUUCAUCUUCAAUUUUCACAAAGAGCAGAAGUAAACAUUCAAAUUCAAACGCUUUCCAAAUCAGAAAACCUAACAAAUGAUCAACUUAAUGCACUAAAAAGUUAAUAACAAUAAAUUUUUUAAUCUGAGUCAGUUUCCUUUCUUCAGAAUUAGAAUUCAAAUAUAAUCAACAAGCUAAGAAGCCAAAAGCCGGAUAAGACAGCGCACAAGGAAAGUAGAGAUUGUUAGCUGGAUCAAGGCGGAGGCGACGCCGAGCCGGUAACAAGGAUCUAGCCACAGAAGAAACGCUAUUAGCAGAGGACCCCGAGCUUAAGCCGACGCCACCGUUUUGCUGGCUGUGCUGACUGUUGGUUUGAAGAUUCUGAGUUGAUGACGAGGAUGAAGACGCCGUUCCCGAUUGCCAGAAAGGACACAGCCUCCACAACUUGCCGUCGUAGUGGCCUGACCGAUGACUGCUGUGGUCAGCGAUCGCCAUGCCAGAGCUCGCCGGAAUCUUACGUAAUAAUUCUCAGGCGGGUGGAGGUGGUCUACGGAUUAAAUUAGAUUUUAGCUUUCUACGAGUUUUUAACUUUUUAGUCAACACCCCUGGGUUGACUUAAAUAUUGGAGGAAAAACUAAAAAGGUCAGAGAAGUUGUUGAAAUUUGUUUGGGUUAAUUGGGUAUUUAUAUUUUAUGAAGUGAGAGAAUGGCUUCUUUCGUGUUUUGUUGAUGGGAGAAGAAAGCCGGACUCGAGUUGAGGAACUUAAUUGGAUUUGACACUUGUUAGUUGACAUCCGACUCACACUACACACGCAUGUGCACAAUCAUCGCUCACAUUACCAGGCAAGUUGUGUUGGGCGGAUCACGCAGAACUGCAGAAUAAAAACCCCAAAUUACUGCAGGAGUCCCCAGAUUUUGUAUGAUACCCCAAUUUGGUUCUUUUUUUAACAAUUUAGGAGUUUAAUGGGGCAAAGACAAAAUGAGCUUAAUAAACUCGAUUAAACUAAUUAAUACAAAGUUGGGCUCAAUUUCCUACUUGACUUCAUCAUUUAAAGAUAAAUUAUAAUUCAGAGAUCAUGAUCUCAAUCACCGUUCAGCUAAUCUAAUCUCAAACUUGCCAAUACGCAAAGUAAUACUAUAUGCUGUCUUGUAUAUUGGUUGGUUUGAUACUUAAAAAUACAUAAUUUUAUUCAGAGUUAAAAUUGAUUUUUCCCAAAAAAAAAAUGAAUGGGACUCAAUUAUUCAGUUUUCCUAUCUCAGUAAGCCAGCUCACGUGAAUCAUCACUACAUCUUCAACGAUUCGAGGUAUUGCAGGACUAAUGAAGUAUAUGCGUGAGUUUUGAUGCUACAUUUAUUAUUAUUAUUAUUAUUUGAAGCUAAAGUAAAUACCCAACUCUUCAUGCCAUUAACCAAAAUUAGUUUUUAGCCCUUUAAAAUUGUAAGUCGUAAUGAAUAUUUUAGUUCCCAGUCUUUUUGAAGCCAAAGGGAUAACCGGUUAUUUUUUUAAGACUGCUAAUUUUUAAGUCGUAAUAAAAUGGAGGGACUAGAUGAUAUUUUUACUUAAGAUGUUAAUCUUUACAGGGUACUGCUGUGGAAACUUUAGUGAUCAUUGCACUAAUUAUUCCUUAAAAAGAAAAAAUAAUGAUUUGCAGAGCUUUUAGCCAGUUGUUUAGGAAGCCAAAAAAAGCGAGGUUGAAAUGGGCCUAAGCUUUCCCUUACAAUGGUUUCAAGUUUAAUUAAUUUCCAUUUUCUGUGUAGUACUACUAACUUUUAGGUGUGCAAAUGAGUUGAGCUUAAUCGAGUAGAUCAUGAACUUGUUCAGUCAAAAUUCAAGCUAGACCAAGUUCAAACAACUCGCACUAUUUGAUGAGUCAAGUUCAAAUCUAAUAUAUAAAUUCGUUGAGUUUAAUCGAGCUUCACAUAUAUAUAUAUAUGUUUUCUUAAUUUUUUUAUUUAUUAGUCUAAAAUGUCUAUUUUAUCCCUUAUUUAAAUUUAUAUAAAAUAUAAAUUUAUAUUUCUUAAUUCCAAUUAGGCUCGAUUAAGUUCGAUUGGGCUGGAUAAGUAUGGGUUCAAGUUCAACCUUGAAUAAUGCAAAAUAAAAUCGAGUUCGAGCUCGAGUUUAACUUUUAAGAGCUUGACGAACUUGAGUUUGAAUCCAAAUUUUUUAAUUCGAGUUGAACUCGACUCAACUCGAUUACACCCUAUCUUGUUAUAGUAAUACAGAUUUCAAGCUUAAAUAGAAAGUUCAAAAGCUCGUUGAUACAUGCUGGGUCAAAUGGUUAGAUCACUUUCUUACAAAUUUUUUUUUUUUGUUUGUUUGUUUGAUUUUCAUUAUUAGUGUGAAGACUGUAUUGAUAGAAAAUUUGUAAGAACCCCUAUAAGCGAUUUAUAGUCUAAGGACAUGCUUUGAUUUGUGGCGGUGACCAGAGUCGAAUCCACCUAAAUUUUUUCCUACUGAGAAAAAAUUGACAUCUAAAUGUAGCUCAAGUGCUAUUGGGGAAGUUUUUUAAAAAAAAGAAAGAAAGGUGGCUAAAGUAAGCUAAUUUCAUCACUACUACUGCUUUUUUAAUUUCCUUUUCUUGUUGCAUGACUUCCUUAAUAAAAUUCUUCAAGAGAGAUCCCUUGCCCUACCCAUUUUAUGGUUCCUUAAGGGUAGGCCUGUCAACGGGUCGGGUCUAGACCCGGAUCCGGACCGGAUCCGUGAAAUUUUUGCGGGUAUGGGUAGAGAUUUAAUUCCGUUUCCCGGAUCCGGAUCCGUUUUGUCAAACAAAAAAACGGGUCGGGUACGGAAUAUAGUAUUUCGACCCGUUUUAGACCCGGAUCCGGAUAUAAAUGAAUUAAUAAUUUAAAAAAUAUAUAUUUAUCAAUAUAAUUUGAUUAGGGUGAUGUAUUUUAAUAAAGUUAAUUUGAUUUCUUUUCUUAUUUGAUUUUUUCUUUGCAUUAGUUAGAAAUUAGUUUACAAAUAUAUUUUUUUCUCAUUUUUAUUAGAAAUUAUAAAUUUUGGUAAAUUUGUUCGGGUAGACCCGGAUCCGGAUCCGGAACAUAGAAUAAAAGAUCCGUCGGGUAAACGGGUCGGAUCCGGAUCCGACAUAGUAAUUCGGGUCCGGGUCCGGAAUAAUGAAUUCCGGCCCGGAUCCGGCCCAUUGACAGCCCUACUUAAGGGCACCGGCGUGAUUUCAACAGUAUUUGCCAGUAAAUAUUUAUUACCUAAUAAAAAACUGAUCUGUAGUUAGGUUCCUGUUUUUGGGUGUAAUUCUAUAUAAUUGACUGAUGCGUUGUAAUUUGUAUAUAGUAUUUAGUAAUAAUAUAUUUGAAUAUAUAAUUAUAUAUAAUAUCAAAAUAUAAAUAUUAUAUAUAGGUAAUUAAAGGGUUAGAUCUAUAUCGAAUUUAAGUCUAAUGAGGGCCAAGUUUAGCUCAUAUUUAAUUCGGAUAUAUUUUUUAGGCCCAAACUUAGAUCGGCUUACUGAAAGAUUGGACUCAUCAAACUUUUUUUGGGGUUGAACGAGCCGAGUUCGGCUGAUCCAACCCCAUUGACAGUCCUAAUGGUCAGAUUCUUGUUUUUGGGUGUAAUUCUACACAUUGACUUCUCUAUGAUCAUUGUAGGAAGCAAGUAAAACCAAAAUCUACUACUAAUAUAGCGGCCUUUAUCAGCCACUGAAUUCAUACAAUACACACACACGCACACAAAAAAAAGGAAGGAAGGAAGGAAGGAAGGAAGGAAGCAACUUUAUCAAACUCAAUCAUGCAACUUAGCAGUGUCUCAUUUUUGGGGCUCUCUCUUUACCUUGCUACUACUUUUUCUGCCCCUUUUUGGUAAUGAAGGGUAGGAAGCACAGCAGCAACGAUUACUAGUAGAAAGAACGCAAAAAGUCGUUGAUUUAAAUGGGCCAAAUUGCAAAGGCAGCUGAUCAACGAUCAAUCAAUCAAGUGCCUAUGAAAUUGUUCACAUGCAACAACUCGUGCCCUUUUCAAUUAAAAGAAGUCACUGCAGAAAUCAGUGGAUUUGGUAAUGGGGGUAAAUAGUGGUAAUUAAGAUGUGUUGGGCAAUAAUUGUGGGAUAAUGCGAAGUAGUUGAGGUGGCUUAGUUGGGAAACGGAAAAGGAAAGGAAUUAGGUGUCGCUUGUCUGUUGCAUUUACUGUUGUCGGCUAGGUUUGUUGGCGUAGGUUUAGUUGGACGGUAGGAAUUGAUUACUAGACAAUUUAAUGGCAUUCUGAGGUGAACCUGGAAUUUGUCCCUUGAUCGAUUAUGCAAACGAGGUAAGUUUUCAUUUUCAAUCAGCCGUAAUUAUUAUUAUCGGUAUUAUGCCACGUGCAGGCUGGCCCAGUUUUAUUUCUUCCCCGUCAAAUUCGUGAAAUUUUUUUGAAAAAAGCCACAUCACAGUCUUUAAUAGUAGUUUUACCACAUUUUUGCACCUUUUAUUGACUAUUGCAUGACCAAAGUAAGGAAUAAUAAUGAUGAUGAUGAUAAUAAAAGCAUUAUUGUAUUUUUCUGGCUGAGACUUAUAAAUUGUAAUCAUACUACAACUUUAUAAGGCUACGGGCAUUUUCUUCCACUCACUCCAUACCAUUCUCAGAAAGUUACGUGGGCCUUGUGCGGUCAUAGAGUCAAGAAACUGGGAGAAGACUUUGAAUAUAGAAGAAUUAACCCAGAAAUACACAGCUUGUAUUGUAACCUCUGAAAUUUGCCAAAGAACAAACUAGGAAAUAUUGAGGCCCAAAUCACACACUAUAUUGGGCAGCAGCUUUUGACUACACGCGACUUGUUUAGGCUGCAGUAAAGUAGAAGAGGUCCACGACUGUGACGAUUGAUUGAGUUGUCACAUUCAUUUUUUUUGUAGAGCAGAGGAUAAUUACUCAUGGCGUCGUAUGUAGACGUGUGUGUUCAAUAUUCGAUUAUCAUGUCGCAUAAUUAACAGAAGACUAUGGGAGUUUUAUUUCUUUUAUAUAUAUAUAUAUAAUAAUAAUAGAAAAAUAGUACUUUUUUUUUUCAGAGACUGUAACUGUUGUAUAACCUAAUCUAUCUUACACUAAGGGAAGGGAACAGACUUAAGGAGGUCCAAGGGUAAUUCGAAGGAGACUGAAUCACCAUCGGAUCAGACGGAUACAUUACGCACCCGCCUGAAUUUUUUAAGUAAAGCCACUUUAAUGUGAUAAUUGGUGGGAGCACCCACCAAACUUUAAUACUUUGAUGGUGGCCAAAGGCUGGUGGUUAAUAGAAAAGUAGUACUUGCACUGAAUUACUUCAACCUUGCAAUAUCUCUUCUCUGCAUAAAACAGAAUGAAUACAAUACGGAUUAACAUGAUCUCACUCCAAGAUCUCAAAAACAAUAUCUUUAGCAAAUUUAACAUUAUUAGCACCUCUUUUUCACCCAAUUGCAAUUCGCAAUCAUGUGCUUCUUGGAGAAGAAACUUGGCAUACACAUUCGUCUUAUGUUAAAACACUUGAAUUUGAUAAAAUGAUCCAUCUCAAUUGAGAUGUUUAUGGAGAAGGCUCUUCUUUCUUAUUCACUACUCAGACUAAGCAGUAGUAGAUAGCUGCCUUUCACUAGAUUUCAUUUUAGAAAGCAGUCGUUAUUUGCACAUAUAUAUAUAUAUAUAUAUAUAUAAAGGAACUAGAUAGCAUUAGUUAGGUACCUAACUAACAUUUCCCAGAGAUUCACUUUCAGUCUUUCCUAAUGGCCAAGUUUAACAGAUAAAACAGAAAUUUUGAUAGUACAAGUUAGAGUUAUUCUUUAAAUGAUGACAGAAAAUUGGGGAGAAUCCAGCAGCGUAAUACCACCACUAUAAACAUAGGAACUUUACAGCUGGAAUAUUUAUUUGUUUGGAUUGUGAUUUUUCACAGAAAUUUUUUUAUCUUUUUCGUAAACACAUUUCUCAAUUAAUUUUUUACUUUACAUACAUCAAAUCAAAUCGCUAUAGUAUACAUAUAUAUAUUUUACAAAAAACUUUUAAAAACAGCAAUUCAAAUGGGAAUUUUCAAAGAUUUAUGGAAGGCCAUCCAUGGCUGUUUACCAUGCGUGGAGAACUCGAAAUGUAAGUAUUGUAUCAGAAUAAAUCUGCGUCUGCUACGGACGUUGUAAAUGCCGUCAUUGAUUUGAGGCCAUCCCACAUAUUGCUGCCUCUUGGAGGGGAGUGCCAAAGAUCAAGGAAAAUUGGAAGCUAGUUCACAUAUGUUUUGAGGGACAUUAUUAGCAUUUGUAUAGAUUACAUUAGGAAAAUUUUGAUGUAUGGGCAGGGCAGCCUCCUGCUAGAUGAUACUGUUUUAAAUCUUACCAGUCCUUAUCAAUAAAAUUCCCAAGUUUACUUGAAAAAAAGAAAAAAGCAGCAACAAAAACAAAGAUGAAUCAUGUAUGGAAGGCCGAUUAAACUGUUCUUUCGUUGAGAAAAAUUAUAGGCAAAAACUCCAAAAUUUUUGUUUCCAGUGAGACUUUCAUUGGUUAAAAAUUGCUUUGUCAAAUGUCAUAGUAUAUACUAGUUAUUUUAUUUCCCUUCUGUUACUGGCUUUUUCCAUUCCGGGCCGCUGCUAUUAAUACGACACCAAUUCUUCUCUCCUGCUAAAAAAUUUAUGGCUCCUUUAGGCUGAUUCUUUUUUUUUUGGGCUGAUCCUUUAGGCUGAUUCCACUUUUGUGAUUUUGAUUUUUUGAGUUACAUGCCCCAGCCCAACAACAUCUCCGGUAUUUCAAGUUUGAGUACUAUGAAUGCAAACGACUAAGCCCAUCAAGCCAUACUAAAUAUUAAUUUAUAUUCUAUAAUCAUAUCAAAGUUUUUCCUUACAAUGCCAAGGACUGAAUUGCUACGAGACUACAUACAACGCAAUAUGAUGUCUCACCCCCAAAAAAAAAUUUUCUUUGAACAUGAUGAGGGGGUAGGAGGAAGGGCCUAGUUGGGCCCCCAAAAGAUCAAAUGGAAGAGGCAUGCAGCCUUUUCUCCCUCCCUCUGCCUCUUUUCAUCAUGGGCCAAACCAGUCCUAAUAGUGUUCAAUUUCAUUUCGCCCGCGGCCGCAAUACUCCUCCCGGAGCUGCUUUUGCCAUCACCGGAGUACUCCAUCAGGAAAGCAUUCCUCUUCUGCUGCUCCAUGCUCUUGAAUGCUGCCUCAAGCUUGCAAACCCUUUUGUUACCACUCAUCUUUCUCAGCCUUUUCUUUCCCUUUUCCUUCGUUUUUUUCGUUUGGUCCACUAAAAAGUUGGAAAAAAAAAAAGGUAAUUGGAUCAGUGAUCGUGACUAUAUAUUAAGACUUGAGCUAAUUAGCUUCUGAUAGAGCAUUUCUGGCCAUGCCACAUGUAGGCAUAUUUAUAGAAGACUAGAAAGAGACACCAGAAAGAAAGACGCGUCUGGAAAGUUGGUGGGAGCAAGUUUUAGAAAAGAAAACAAGGGGUGAGAGAUCCUUGGUUUUCCUUCACUUUCAGCGGUUUUUACCAAAAUGUGGCAACCGGACCAUAGUUUGUUAGUAUAACUCUGCAUGUGCUUAAUUGUCUUUCCAUUAAAGUGAUUAUACCUUAGAACUUUACAACAUUGAAGUAGUAGACUAUUCUCCAGCAACGGCGGAUAGUUGCUGGUAACAAGGAAAGCCAACAGGGAUCGAUCAUUAGUUUAGUUACCCCACGAGUCUGACUUUAUCCAUGGAACAUGUACUAAUAACCUAAUAUUCUCAUUUGAUUUAAACACUUAAAUAUGAGAUCCAAAAUAUUUUUGUUUGGAUUAGCUGUUUUCUGGAGUGUUUUUGAAAUAUUUUAUUAUGGCAAUCUGUAUAAAUUUUUUUUAUUAUGGAUAUGUUUUGGUGAUGUUUUUUAAGGUAUUUUUGAAAUGUAUUUAAAAAUAUUUUUAAAGCUUAAAAAAUUAAAUCUACCACCCACCACCACCACCCCGUCUCUCCUUCCCCUACCUCUCCCCCUUCCUCCUCCCUUUCUUUCUUCUCUUCCUCCUUCAUUCUUCCCUUCCCAUUUCCUGUCACACCCCACCCUUCCCCUUCCCCUUCCCCUCCUUGAUGUGACGGGAAAUGGGAGAGAAAGGGAGGGGAGGAGGAAAGAGAAGGUGGAGAAAGAGGGAGAGAGAAUAGAGAGGGAAAGAAAAGGAGGAGAAGGAAGGAGAGGAUGGCGGUGGUGGUGGUGGUGGUGGGCGAUGGUGGUGAUAGAUGGAAGAAAAACAUAAUUUAGAUUUUAUUUUUUUUUUGUAUAUUUGAAAUUAUUUUUGAUAUAUUAUAUGGAUGUGAUAUUUUUGAAGGUGUUUUUAUUUAUAUAUUACUGUAGUAAUAUUGUAAAUGAAAAACUUGUUUUUCAAAAAAUGGAGAAUACAAACAAAGCCUAAUUAGUCGUUUUUAAGCUAGUUAUUUGAGUUUGAAAAUAUAUUUGAUAGGUAACCUCCGAAUUUUUGCUGAAAGUGGGAGGUGCCUUUGCAUGCUUGUUCCAAAAAAAAAUAAAAAAUACCUUCAACCAAAAAAUCCUCCUGCAUGCUCGUUUUUAUUACUACGUAGUAGGAAAGCGAAAUAAAGGAAAGAAAAAAUUAUUUUCCCAUGUAUGUUCGUUUUGAUAAGAAAAAAAAAAGAUAAUUAUUAUAAGUUAUAGAAAAUAUUGUGAAUGCUAAUAAUUUUCCUCCAAUAUACUGCAAAUUUUGUAAGACACAAAAUGCACGAAAAUGAAGAAAAUUUUGCUAAACUUUCUUACUAAUACUAUACAAACACCUGUAAAGGGCAAAAAUAACUAGUACUUCUCAAUUUUCAUACUUUAAGGACUCCUGAAAAUCGCUAUGGGCCCAAACCUGCAGGACUAGAGUCUCGCAGCCUGACUAUUUCUUUUAGAGGAAAGUCAUUAGAGAAUGGAGUUGUUGCCGUAAAACCAGAAUUAAGGUCAAUACACUUGCUUCGGUGGUUUCAUCCUCAAAGUCUCUUUCCUCCUCUUUCUUAUGAAGCGGUUUUGCCUUAAAUUCUCUCAAAAAAUUGAAAAUUUAAAAAGAACUUUUUUAGAUAGCACUGGUGUCUGUCUAAAAAAGUUCUGUUUUGUUUUUCGUUUAUACUUCACACCAUUUCAACCGUGCGAUCCUCUGAACUCACAGCCACAGGUUUCUAUUAUACAAGACUCACAACUCAACUACGGCUCUAAGAUAUUAUGAAAGGCUUCUUUCUUUCUUUUUUUUUUCAAUAAAUGUUUUGAACCUUUUCUUUUUCUUCUGGAGUUUGAUAUUUGAGCCUUCCACGAAUUGAAAAUUGAUUGCAUAUAAUGAUAACUCUCUUUCUUUAACUCUUUUUUCGAACCAUCUUCUACGUAAUUCUUUCUCCCAAUAGUAAAAAAAAAAAAAAAAAGGACACAAAUAAAAAUGAAACAAGAAGUAAAAGUUCAAAGAAGAGCAAAAUGGACCAAAGCCUGCAAAUGAUAUUCGUUGUCUUACAAUAAUAUAACAAAUUGUCAGGAUAUAUCAUAUGUUUUCUGAAAAAAAGAAAAAAAAAAGGAAGAAGAAGCUAAAAUCUAAUAGUACUAGGACCCCAACUACUCAAAUGCAUUACUUUCUUCACAGAGUUUUCUCUUCUUGGCGUCUUCUCUACUUCCCUAACCAAGAGAGAUGGCAAAACGGAGCGGGUAGUCAGGGCCUGAUGGUACCAAGAAGCAUGGCGUUGGAGCGGCAUCAAGGGGCGGCUACCUUGAUCUUUGAGAACCAUACCCACGGCUGCUCCUAUGCUCCCACCAACAACCAAGGCCUUUGCAUGCAGUUGCAUUCAUUCUUCCAAUAUUUGUUCUAGUAUAAUUAAUAUUGCAGAAUUAGUAUGAUUGAGAAGGUGGUAUUUCGUAUUGCUUGAGAAGAAAAUAGAUGGAUGAAAAGGUUUGUGAUUAAGGCUGAGAAAGGGACUAUGCGUAUAUAUAGGACAGGUGUAGAGAACAUGGCACGUGAGACAAAAGUUAGGCAUACU
rnacentral:lncRNA from 1 species